rnacentral:ncRNA from 1 species
ACAAAAGCAAUGACGAGAAAGAGUACCUUGGCAGCGUCUUUGAACAGAGAGCCCCGGCUGGUGAAAAGGGGUAAAGAAGGAGCCUCGGGAAUAUGGUCUCUGAGCUGUGCACCGAAACCCUGCAUGGGGUCGUAGGCUGUGCCGGAUCCCGCACCCGUUAACGUGCUAGGGUAUACACGCGAUAUAUGGGCGUCGUACCCGAAGAGGUGAAUGCCGCAAGGCAUGAAUGAAAUUGGGUGGUACCACGUGAGCCAUAAGCUCUCGUCCCUUUG